rnacentral:rRNA from 1 species
AUGCGAGUCCUUUGGCUUCGGCCCAGUGCCCAAAGCCGAGCCUCCUCCAUGAUGAUGCAGACGAGCUCGUCGGCAGAUGGCUGGAGGUCGUCAAAGAGAACGGCGUUGCUAUGCUUCCCGAUACUCCAUGCAGUUAGGGCUAUAAGAGAGUUAAGGCCCUUCCACAAACUUGCCGGAGAAGCGGCAAGGGAGGCAGACCACCAAGGGAAGAAGAUCGCAUCCGUUUGGCAAAAACACAUAAAACUUCAACUACAAAAUUUGGUUGUUCCAUUCAGAAUAAGUAACAUUCUUGCACAAGCUACUGCCACACUUAAGGCGAGUUUACGUCAGCUGUGCAAACUGCGGAAUUCUAGUAAAACUCGUUGCCCCUACAAUUAG